UACGACCAUAUCACGUUGAAACACAGGUUCUCGUACGAUCAGCAAAGUUAAGUAACGUCAAGACUGUUCAGUACCUAGAUGGGUGACCACAUAGAAAUAACAGGUGCU